UUCGCAAUGCCCGAAAGGGUGACGAAGCGACGCCGCGUGCGGGAAGAAGGCCUUCGGGUUGUAAACCGCUGUCGGGAGUUAAGAAGUGCAAGGGUGUUAAUAGCAUCUUUGCUUGACUAAGGCUCCGGAGGAAGCCACGGCUAACUCUGUGCCAGCAGCCGCGGUAAUACAGAGGUGGCAAGCGUUGUUCGGUAUUAUUGGGCGUAAAGAGCACGUAGGUGGUUUUGUAAGUCAGAUGUGAAAGCCUUCUGUUCAAAGGAAGAACGGCAUCUGAAACUACAGAUCUUGAGUGUAGGAGGGGAGAGUGGAACUUCUGGUGGAGCGGUGAAAUGCGUAGAUAUCAGAAGGAACGUCGGCGGCGAAAGCGACUCUCUGGCCUAUUACUGACACUGAGUGUGCGAAAGUUAGGGGGGCAAACGGGAUUAGAUACCCCGGUAGUCCUAACUGUAAACGAUGGGCACUAAGUAGAGGGGUUUU
rnacentral:rRNA from 2 species